rnacentral:rRNA from 1 species
CCUACGUGUGGCAGCAGUGGGGAAUAUUGGGCAAUGGAGGCAACUCUGACCCAGCAACGCCGCGUGAAUGAUGAAGGUCUUCGGAUUGUAAAGUUCUUUUCUAAGGGAAGAAGAAAGUGACGGUACCUUAGGAAUAAGCAUCGGAUAACUAAGUGCCAGCAGCCGCGGAAAUACGUAGGAGGCAAGCGGUAUCCGGAAUGACUGGGCGUAAAGGGUGCGUAGGGGGUUAGACAAGUUGGUAGCUUAACUCCGGAGUGCAACUUCGGAACUACUACAAAAACUGUUGGACUCGAGUGCGGGAAGGGCAACUGGAAUUGCUAGUGUAGCGGUGGAAUGCGUAGAUAUUAGGAAGAACACCGGUGGCGAAGGCGAGUUGCUGGACUGUAACUGACACUGAGGCACGAAAGCGUGGGGAGCGAACAGGAUUAGAUACCCCAGUAGUC